rnacentral:rRNA from 1 species
AUUGAACGCUGGCGGCAGGCCUAACACAUGCAAGUCGAACGAGUGGCGGACGGGUGAGUAAUGUCUGGGACACUGCCUGAUGGAGGGGGAUAACUAGUGGAAACGGUAGCUAAUACCGCAUACCAUCGGAAAUGCCCAUAUGGGAUUAGCUAGGAGGUGGGGAAAGGGCGCACCUAGGAGACGAUCCCUAGCUGGUCUGAGAGGAGGACCAGCCACACUGGAACUGAGACACGGCCCAGACUCCUACGGGAGGCAGCAGUGGGGAAUAUUGCACAAUGGGCGCAAGCCUGAUGCAGCCAUGCCGCGUGUAUGAAGAAGGCCUUCGGGUUGUAAAGUACUUUCAGCGGGGAGGCGUUACCCGCAGAAGAAGCACCGGCUAACUCCGUGCCAGCAGCCGCGGUAAUAC